CAGCUACCACCACCCAAAGCCAGCGUCUGCUUUCUGUCCUCAUUUCCUUUUCCCACCCAGCUCUGAGAGCAGAGAAAGGCAGAGGGAGCGAGAGAUAGAGACAGUCAGAGAGACAGACAGACAGCCAGAGAGAGCAGGAGGGAGGAGGGCGGAGGAGGAGGAGCAGGAGGAGGACUACGCGGGGCGCGUUCCCUCCCAGCUGCCGAGCGCCCGCGUCGCUGCCGCGGCCGGAAGACAGACGCCCCCCAAAGCCCCUCGCCUGGCUCGGACCAACGGAGCCGGCAGCCCAGCACUCCGAUGGGAGCUUGCCUGCCUGUCUGCCCAUUGGCCUGGACCCCAGAGCCUGCCCAGCUAAGUGCGUGCAGAGGGCCCCGGCUUCGGGGCGACUCUCAGGCCGCCGAAGAGACCACCCUGGAAUCACUGGCAAAGACAGGCCUUUCUUGCUGAGCUGGGCCUGUCUGCACUGCCUGCUCAGGCGCUGUCCACGCCCCGAGGCCUGGGCUCAGGCCGAAGCUGCUCCACAGCACCCCCAGCUGGCAGCCAGCGACUGGCAGAGCCCCCAGGCACGGGGGCCCUCUCUCUUUCAGAGAUCUCCAGUGUGACAGCCCAGGCGGCAGAGCCGAGGGUCCUGGUCCCGGCUUCUCGCACCCUCAUGUCAGCCCCGGCCCCGCCCGGCGGCCCGCGGAGGACAAGGUCAGGAUGCGUGUGAAGCCCCAGGGCCUGGUGGUGACUUCCAGUGCCGUGUGCAGCUCUCCUGACUACCUCCGGGAGCCCAAGUACUACCCCGGCGGCCCCCCCACCCCCCGGCCCUUGCUUCCCGCCCGGCCCCCUGCCAGCCCACCCGACAAGGCCUUCGCCCACACCUUCUCCGAGAACCCGCGCCCACCCCCACGCCGGGACCCCAGCACCCGGCGCCCACCAGUCCUUGCCAAGGGGGACGACCCGCUGCCCCCGAGGGCGGCCCGUCCUGUCUCCCAGGCCCGCUGCCCCACCCCCGCGGGAGACGGCAGCAGCUCCCGACGGCGCUGGGACAACGGGCGGGUGAACCUGCGUCCAGUGGUCCAGCUGAUUGACAUCAUGAAGGACCUGACCCGGCUCUCCCAGGACCUGCAGCACAGCGGCGUGCACCUGGACUGCGGUGGCCUCCGGCUCAGCCGCCCACCUGCCCCGCCCCCCGGGGACCUUCAGUAUAGCUUCUUCUCCUCACCCAGCCUGGCCAACAGCAUCCGCAGCCCUGAGGAGCGGGCCACCCCCCAUGCCAAGUCUGAGCGGUCCAGCCACCCCCUCUACGAGCCUGAGCCUGAGCCUAGGGACAGUCCCCAGCCCGGCCAAGGCCAUAGUCCCGGAGCCACGGCCGCAGCCACCGGUCUGCCACCAGAGGCCGAGCCAGACGGCCCCGAUUACUCAGAACUCGCUGACGCCGACAUCCUGAGUGAGCUGGCCUCCCUUACUUGCCCCGAGGCCCAGCUGCUGGAGGCCCAGGCCCUCGAGCCACCGUCGCCUGAGCCAGAGCCUCAGCUCCUAGACCCCCAGCCCCGCUUCCUGGACCCGCAGGCACUAGAGCCGCUCGGGGAAGCUUUGGAGCUGCCGCCCCUGCAACCCCUUGCCGAUCCUCUGGGGUUGCCGGGCCUGGCUCUACAGGCCCUAGAUACCCUGCCCGACUCCCUGGAGUCGCAGCUGCUCGACCCUCAGGCACUUGACCCCCUGCCCAAGUUGCUUGACGUCCCUAGCCGCCGUCUGGAGCCCCAGCAGCCCCUGGGACCCUGCCCGCUGGCUGAGCCCUUGCGCCUGGACUUGUGCUCACCCCAUGGCCCUCCUGGGCCUGAGGGUCACCCCAAAUACGCCUUGCGGCGCACCGAUAGGCCAAAGAUCCUGUGUCGCCGACGGAAAGCCGGACGGGGACGCAAGGCAGACGCCGGCCCCGAGGGCCGUCUGCUGCCCCUGCCUGUGCCCACAGGGCUGGCGGCUGCCCUGGCUGAGCCCCCGCCCCCGCCCCCACCUCACGCCCUGCCCGGCCCAGGCCCAGUCCCAGAGCUGGAGCCCGAAUCCUCCCAGACCCCAGUGGUCCCUACCCGCAGAGGCAAGUGCCGGGGCGUGCGGCGCAUGGUGGUGAAGAUGGCCAAGAUCCCCGUGUCGCUGGGCCGGCGGAACAAGACCACGUACAAGGUGUCAUCUUUGAGCAGCAGCCUGAGCGUGGAGGGCAAGGAGCUGGGCCUGCGCGUGUCCACAGAGCCCACCCCGCUGCUGAAGAUGAAGAACAAUGGGCGCAACGUGGUGGUGGUCUUCCCACCCGGCGAGAUGCCCAUCAUUCUCAAGCGUAAGCGCGGCCGCCCUCCUAAGAACCUGCUCCUGGGCCCCGGCAAGCCCAAGGAGCCAGCGGUGGUGGCGGCCGAGGCAGCCACCGUGGCGGCAGCCACCAUGGCCAUGCCGGAGGUGAAGAAACGGCGGCGGCGGAAGCAGAAGCUGGCAUCUCCCCAGCCGUCCUACGCAGCGGAUGCCAACGACAGCAAGGCCGAGUACUCGGACGUCCUCGCCAAGCUGGCCUUCCUGAACCGCCAGAGCCAGUGCGCUGGACGGUGCUCACCGCCCCGCUGCUGGACGCCCAGUGAGCCCGAGUCCGUGCACCAGGCACCCGACACGCAGAGCAUCUCCCACUUCCUGCACCGUGUGCAGGGCUUCCGACGGCGAGGUGGCAAAGCAGGCGGUUUUGGCGGCCGGGGUGGGGGCCACGCGGCCAAGGCGGCCCGAUGCUCCUUCAGCGACUUCUUUGAGGGCAUCGGCAAGAAAAAGAAGGUGGUGGCCGUGGCAGCCGCUGGGGUCGGGGGCCCUGGCCUCGCUGAGUUGGGGCACCCACGCAAACGGGGCCGGGGGGAGGUAGACGCCGUGACUGGAAAGCCCAAACGCAAGAGGCGGUCCCGGAAGAACGGGACUCUGUUCCCAGAACAGGUGCCCAGCGGCCCAGGCUUUGGGGAUGCGGGCACUGAGUGGGCCGGGGACAAGGGUGGUGGCUGGGCCCCUCACCAUGGGCACCCAGGCGGGCAAGCUGGCCGAAACUGCGGGUUCCAGGGGACCGAGGCCCGGGCCUUUGCCUCCACUGGGCUAGAGAGCGGGGCUUCGGGCCGUGGCAGCUACUACAGCACAGCCGCACCUGCGGGCCAGACGGAGCUCAGCCAGGAGCGCCAAAACCUCUUCACCGGCUAUUUUCGCUCACUGCUCGACUCGGAUGACUCCUCCGACCUCUUGGACUUUGCCCUCUCAGCCUCUCGCCCCGAGUCCCGGAAGGCAUCAGGCACCUACGCAGGGCCCCCCAGCAGCGCCCUGCCCGCCCAGCGGGGCCUGGCCACCUUCCCCAGCCGGGGAGCCAAGGCCAGCCCGGUGGUGGUGGGCAGCAGCGGGGCUGGGGCGGACCCCUCCUUCCAGCCUGUUCUGCCCACUCGCCAGACCUUCCCGCCGGGCCGGGCGGCGAGCUACGGGCUAACCCCCGGCACUUCCGACUGCCGGGCAGCCGAGACCUUCCCGAAGCUGGCUCCUCUGCCUUCUGCCGUGGCUCGCUCGCCUACCGCACACCCGCCCGCCAACACCUACGCCCCGCAGUACGGGGGCUACGGGGCUGGACAAAAUGUAUUCGCACCCGCUAAGCCCUUCACGGGCCAGGACUGCGCCAAUAGCAAGGACUGCAGCUUUGCCUACGGCAGUGGCAACAGCCUCCCUGCCUCACCCAGCAGCGCCCACAGCGCUGGCUACGCCCCACCGCCUACCGGUGGCCCCUGCCUGCCACCAAGCAAGGCGUCCUUCUUCAACAGCUCUGAGGGGGGCCCCUUCUCUGGUUCGGCCCCCACACCCCUGCGCUGUGACAGCCGGGCCAGCACGGUCUCACCCGGCGGCUACAUGGUACCCAAGGGCACCACAGCCUCUGCCACCUCUGCCGCGUCCUCGUCGUCCUCCUCCUUCCAGCCCUCGCCUGAGAACUGUCGGCAGUUUGCGGGGGCUUCUCAGUGGCCUUUCCGGCAGGGCUAUGGAGGCCUGGACUGGGCCUCGGAGGCCUUCAGCCAGCUCUACAAUCCCGGUUUCGACUGCCACGUCAGCGAGCCCAACGUGAUCCUGGACAUCUCCAACUACACGCCGCAGAAGGUGAAGCAGCAGACAGCCGUGUCCGAGACCUUCUCGGAGUCGUCCUCCGACAGCACCCAGUUCAAUCAGCCCGUCGGCGGCGGCUUCCGGCGCGCCAACAGCGAGGCCUCGAGCAGCGAGGGCCAGUCGAGCCUGUCCAGCCUGGAGAAACUGAUGAUGGACUGGAACGAGGCAUCGUCCGCCCCCGGUUACAACUGGAACCAGAGCGUCCUCUUCCAGAGCAGCUCCAAGCCAGGCCGCGGACGGCGGAAGAAGGUGGACCUGUUCGAGGCCUCACAUCUGGGCUUCCCGUCAACCGCCUCGGCCAGCGCCGCGGGCUACCCAUCCAAACGGAGCACCGGGCCCCGGCAGCCUCGGGGUGGACGGGGUGGCGGGGCCUGCUCAGCCAAGAAGGAGCGGGGCGGGGCGGCGGCCAAAGCCAAGUUCAUCCCCAAGCCCCAGCCGGUCAACCCGCUGUUCCAGGACAGCCCGGACCUCGGCCUGGACUACUACAGCGGGGACAGCAGCAUGUCACCACUGCCCUCGCAGUCGAGGGCCUUCAGCGUGGGCGAGCGAGAUCCCUGUGACUUCAUGGGACCCUACUCCAUGAACCCGUCCACGCCGUCGGACGGCACCUUCGGCCAAGGCUUCCACUGCGACUCGCCCAGCCUCGGUGCCCCUGAGCUGGAUGGCAAGCAUUUCCCGCCGCUGGCCCACCCGCCCACGGUGUUUGAUGCUGGCCUGCAGAAGGCCUACUCCCCCACCUGCUCCCCGACCCUGGGCUUCAAGGAAGAGCUGCGGCCGCCACCCACAAAGCUGGCUGCCUGUGAGCCCCUCAAGCAUGGGCUCCAGGGGGCCAGCCUGAGCCAUGCAGCUGCAGCCCAGGCCCACCUGAGCUGCCGGGACCUGCCGCUGGGCCAGCCCCACUACGACUCCCCCAGCUGCAAGGGUACGGCGUAUUGGUACCCGCCAGGCUCGGCCGCCCGCAGCCCGCCCUAUGAAGGCAAGGUGGGUUCAGGGCUGCUGGCUGACUUCCUGGGCAGGACGGAGGCCGCGUGCCUCAGUGCCCCACACCUGGCUAGCCCACCGGCCACACCUAAGGCCGACAAGGAGCCACUGGAGAUGGCCCGGCCGCCCGGCCCACCCCGUGGCCCCGCUGCAGCUGCUGCUGGCUAUGGCUGCCCACUCCUUAGUGACUUGACCCUGUCCCCCGUGCCGAGGGACUCGCUGCUGCCCCUGCAGGAUACCGCCUACAGGUAUCCAGGCUUUAUGCCGCAGGCGCAUCCUGGCCUGGGUGGGGGCCCCAAGAGCGGCUUCCUGGGGCCCAUGGCGGAACCUCACCCUGAGGACACAUUCACCGUCACCUCCCUGUAGUGCCAACUGAAGUGCCGACUGGACCUCGAGGUUUUGUUCCUGGCUUUCAGAAAACCAACGCCAAGACCCCUCCCAGCGUCCACAUGGUCCUCCGGCAGGCGCCUGCCCCUCUGCCUCCCGCCCCACCUCCCCUGCACCCCCUGCAGCCCCAUCGCCCCCCCCACCCCUCCCUGCCCAUCUCCUCCACGCAGAAGCCGAAGGGUCUGCACUAUACAUCAUAUUCUAUGUCUCUACUUCAUAACUGUCUGAGGAACUCCUACUCACCCUUCAAGACCCCACUCAAAUGACUCCUCUUCUGGUAAGCCUGCCCCAAUCCUCCAGUUAAGUUCUAUGCUUCUGUGAGCUCACAGGUCCUGCUGCAAUUGGUGUCUUCCUCUUUUACUGUAAUUUUUAUGUAUGUGUUUUCUCCCUCACCAGACUGGGAGCCAACUGAGGCAGAGACUGAGUGGAUUGAUCCCUGGGUCCCCAGUGCCCUGCCCAGGCCUGGCCAGAGCCGUCAGCAAUAGAUGCUCAUUAAAUGAAUAGACUGGAAGAUGUAACAAAGGAGGGAAAAUUCAGGCAGGAUUUUGAAGGUGGCAGGAAAAAAAGAAUAACAUGUACUUACUGAGGGCAUAGAGUCAGUACAGAUAAAAGCAAAUAAAACUACCACUGAGAGCAUCACAGUAUGAUGGGUAAGAACAGAGAUAAGCUCUGCCUCUCAUUGCCUGUGUGGCCUUGUGUAAGUUAUAGAACCUCUCUGUGCCUCAGUGUCCUCAUCUGUAAAAUGGGGACAGUAAUGGUAUCCACCUCACCAGGAAUUAAACAGGCUAAUAUAUACAAGGUACUGAGAGCUGUGCCAGGCACACAUGGGCACUGGGUGUGUUUGCCAUCAUUGUUAUUAUCUCCAUUGCUGAGCGCUUUGGUUGUGCCCUGGCACUUUCAUCUGGCAUCUUACUUAGUCCUCACAGCAGCCUCAGAAGAAGGGAUUGUUGUGUCCUUUUACAAAGAAAUCAGGUGUAAGCAGGCCAAACAGCUUGCUAAGGCCACUCACUGGGUAAGCAGCAGGAAUGGGAUUUGAACUCAA